ensembl:lincRNA
AGUUAGAGGAGAGCUCACCUCCAGACAGGACGGACAACAGCAGCCCAGCCCAGAGCAUCAUGGGAUUGGUCUCUCUGCAGGGAGGGGGCGCAGAAGGAAGAGGUUAAAAACUAAAUUAAAAAAGGGAAGAGAGAGGUUCAGUACGGAGUAGAGACUCCGAUUCCGGUCCGUACCCGAGACCUUGAGACCCGACCCGACCCGGAAAUCGGUCCCUUCUCCUCCCACUGUAGAACUGUACAAAAAAAAGUCAGGUUUUACUAAGGAACCAGUACAGGUUGCUGUACCUGUGCUGAAGAGAGACACAGCGUUUCGGCUGGGGAGCUUUAUUCAAUAUUUGCAGCCCCUCUCCGCUUUUACAGGCUACAGUGUUUACUUUAAGGGAGGAAUAUGGCGUGGUUAACUUCCGUAUGAUCUGCACCGAAGCCAGUUACAGUCCCUGGAGAGAGCGACGCCCUGUCUUGCUGGACAGCUACCGAAGCAAAUAUUUCCUCGGGAGAGUCAUGCAACUGGCUGGGGUUAUAUUUCUGGAUUGAUAUUAUAUCUCUGGACUUUGGAGCACACACGCGAGGAGCAGGACCAAAGCACAGUAUCGCGGGCGCCACCUAGCGGCCGUUGGUGCUGCGAAAGAGGAGGACCGGCAGCUUCGCGGUUUCUCUCCCGGAGUUCGUCGCCCCGCAUUCGGCGUGAGACCGCCAGCCGAGGCCGUGGUUUCAAAGGAGGCCUGGCGGUCAGGGCGGUGGUGAGCCGGUGGGUCUCAGUCUCUCUCCACAGCCCCUUCAGCUCCUGUCUCGGUGUCGAAGGGGGCGUCCAAUCCCACGAUGCUCUGGGCUGGGCUUCUGUUGUCUGUCCUGUCUGGUGUCUCGGCGGCUCCUGUCUCCGUGUCGGUGAGGUUUGGGGGCUCAGUCUCUCUCCCCUGUGACGGAUCUGCCUACAGGGG